UUCAGGAACCUUUACAACUUCUACUUUUAUUGUCAUGUGACAGAUUUCUUGAACAAACUCCUGAUAAAUGUUGUUACUUGCAGGUGGCUGUAGCUUUGAAUGCAGCAAAGAGUGCUGGCAUAAUCCACGGUGAUGUGAAGGAGGAUAACAUCAUGAUGGUGGAUCACGUGAAGCAGCCCUUCAGAGUCAAGCUCAUUGACUUUGGUAUGGCCAAGUACAGGUCGGAAGCCAAAGCAGGAGAGCUAUUCCAAGUACUUGAAUAUAGGUAUGAAAUACUGAUACUUUUUAAACAUUGAGAAAUCUUUCAUUCAGCGCUGUCUCCUUACUGUCUACUGUGUCACAUCUUCAUCUGAUGUUUUUUCCACAUUCAGAGCUCCAGAAAUCACCCUGGGCCUGCCGUAUUCAGAGGCCAUCGACGUUUGGUCCUUAGGCUGCGUGAUGGCCGGGAUGAUGACUGAAGAUAGUCUCUUCGGAUCAGAAUCGGACUCAGACUCGGAAUACUGGAAACUCCGACGCAUGAUCCGUCUGCUGGGUCCGCCACCGCAACAUCUCAUCGACGCUGGCCGGAGAUCACGAUUUUUUUUUCAGAAAACGUCUAAUGGUUUGUGGCGGCUGAAGACACCUGUUGAGUAUUUUGUGGCCCAUGUCAUCUACUCCGACCCCACAGUUUACGAGUUCGGCUCUCUGGAUGAAAUGAAAACGGUAGGUAGUUUAGGAAGCAGCGGCUAGUUGCUGAAAAGUCCCGUUCAUUUAUGGUAUUCACAUUUGACGGUGGAAGGUGAUUUGACCACUGUUGGACUUUCAAAAUGUUUGCUGCACCAGGUGUCCUCUGAGACGGACAACCCAGCAGAGGCCGAUGAGAGGAGGGAGUGCAUCGAGCUGUUGAAGGCGAUGCUUCGGUGGGAUGAGGACGACAGAAUCACCCCCAGC